AUUGAACGCUGGCGGCAUGCUUUACACAUGCAAGUCGAACGGCAGCGGGGAGGAGCUUGCUUCUCUGCCGGCGAGUGGCGAACGGGUGAGUAAUACAUCGGAACGUGUCGAGAAGAGGGGGAUAACCACCCGAAAGGGUGGCUAAUACCGCAUAAAUUCUGAGGAAGAAAGCUGGGGACCUAGGAAUAGGCCUAGCGCUUUUUGAGCGGCCGAUGUCGGAUUAGCUAGUUGGUGAGGUAAAGGCUCACCAAGGCGAAGAUCUGUAGCGGGUCUGAGAGGAGGGUCCGCCACACUGGGACUGAGACACGGCCCAGACUCCUACGGGAGGCAGCAGUGGGGAAUUUUGGACAAUGGGGGCAACCCUGAUCCAGCCAGGCCGCGUGUAUGAAGAAGGCCUUAGGGUUGUAAAGUACUUUUGUUAGGGAAGAAAAGUCAGCUGUGAAUAAUGGCUGAUACUGACGGUACCUAAAGAAUAAGCACCGGCUAACUACGUG
rnacentral:rRNA from 1 species